UCCGAUAUAGUGUAGGGGGCUAUCACAUCACGCUCUCAUGUUGAGAACCGUGGAGACCGGGGUUCGAUUCCCCGUAUCGGAG
rnacentral:tRNA from 1 species